GUCCACGGCCAUGCUACUCCGAACAAGCCUGAUCCCAUCUGACCUUGGAAGCUAAGCAGGGUCAGGCCUGGUUAGUACUUGGAUGGGAGACCACCUAGGAAGACCAAGUGCUGUAGGUG
rnacentral:rRNA from 1 species